AGUUUUAUAUUCAAUAAUGAUAUUAAAUUGCAAAUUUAAAGGAGUAAUAUAAUUUACUAAAACUU
rnacentral:tRNA from 1 species